ACCCAGCUGACGAGUCCCAAAUAGGACGAAACGUGAAUCCUGGAU
rfam:Schistosoma curassoni strain Dakar, Senegal genome assembly, scaffold: SCTD_contig0017934